UUCGGCCUGCUCAGGCUGCCUGUUACACAAAAAUCUGACUUCCGUGUUAGCCGGCUGCAGCUGCAGUUUCCUGUCUGUUAACCCUGUAGGACUUGGUUCUUUUUAAGAUACAAUACAGGCCCUAAAAAAGACGUACAUUUGUCCAUGUGGCAAGUUAUCCGUCUGCUCUACCAAAACAGCUUCUGGGAUGUUUUUGCUUUACCUUUUAUCUUAUAGUAAAAUUCUGCAAUUGAAACAAAAUGAGAAAGCAGCAUGUUCAAAAGGCUUUGUGGCCAGAUGCAUGCAUGAACAACAUCUUUGAAUACUUCUCAUUUACAUUACUUGUUCUGGAUCACAAUGGUCACUGUCUACAGCCAAAUACAUUCUCAGUCACCCGAAAAGCAGCUGUGAGGCGUAUGCGGAUAUACUGCAUGUUGGACCUAAACCAUACCCCACUGUGCAGCUGAACAGCACCAGUGAAGCAAGUGGAUUUAUCCUGCCUGCUGUGCGAUAACAUGGCAAUGGGUGCAACUCGCUGCACGUGCAAGGUCCGUGGCCAUGGGAAUGUCUAUACCCUGCAUAAGAACAAGGUCCAAAGUACUGAAAGAAGUUUGUGUUUCACCAAGGGAUUCGAAUGCCCAGGUGUGAGACAUCCUGCCUGUAGCACUUACUUGGACAUGACGGUCCUUCCCAAGAAGAAAGUCACUACUGUUAAGGGAAAAAUUAUUCAGGACAAGGUCUAGGAAGCACUAAAAGCUAAUCUUACUACUGCAGUUUCUCUUCUGAUUUUGUCACUUUCAGGAAUCACUUGGUUAACAGUACUGUGAUAAGUGACUUUUUGGCUGGUUUGGGUUCUUUUUCAAAAAAAGCUGAUUAUCUCAAAGAAGAUUCCACCUGCUGAAGCUCAUAUCAAACAUGUGAAGUGAUGGAAUUACAAACAUGCUGCUAUUACAAUGGUUUUCCCUCUCCUAGGCUUAUGUCUUAUCACAACCCACUGCAGAUUUAGGUUAUGUCACUUUCACUUUUGAUCUCUUUCCUGCCCCUUCACACACUAUAUAUACAGUUUUGCUUUAGCUUUAAGGCUCUGCAUAUUCACACCUUUCUCUUCCCUAUCUGCUAUUCCGAUUGCUAUAUUCAUCUGAUUUUUGUGGUUUGCCUCUCACCAGCAUUAAGUCCUUCUUUCUUUUUUCACCACAAACGUGCUGUACAAUCACAUUCACAAAGGCUUAACUCACAGUUUUAACAAGGUGGAGGGGGCAGGGGGGGUGUUCACAUUUUUUUAAAUCAGACACACCAUCUUAAGCAUCUCACCACUCCUUCCAGCCACAGCACCCAGCUCAGUUCCACUUCUAGCACAACUCUCUAUAUGGUUACACAGAGAAGAGGAUCAGUGGAUCAGGUAUUUACUGGGUUAAAUUUAACCCAGGAAAGGCAACAAUUCACAAUGGUUCAUGACACUCCUGCAAUAGCAAUGGCAGUGGUAUGACUGAGAGAGCAGGAAUAAGCAGCUUGAGAUAACUUAAUCACUAACAGUAAAAGAAAUUCUUGUGAAACUAUGUGACCAAGCACUACAUCCAUGUUUUCACCAGAUUUGUGUUAUUAACUAUGUUUUCUUAAAGUACAAAUUACACUGUAGAUCCUUUCUUGCCUCUUCAACCUUAUGUAAGGGCAGGAAGAAAGCAAGCCUUUGAAAUAUAAUCGCGUCUCUGAAAAGAAACAACACGUUUCCCAGCUGUGGCCUUGUCUGCUGAAACCAGGUGAAAGACUUGCCCAUAAUUAACUAACAUCUGUAUAAACUGUUGAAUUCAUUUUAGCACCUUUACAUAUUAUUAUUUUUCAUGCACUGUGGGACUUACAGACUAUGUUUACUAAGCCCUCCUUAUCAGGUGACAGACAAGAGGACACUCCUGAGCUAAUGCCACUGUCAAGUUGUUUCCACAAGGGAAGCUUACUGCAGAGAAAUCAAUACCCACAUCAAAAAACAUAAUACUGAAAGGGCAGAACAAAUCCUGUUGUAUUUAUUGUACUUGUCAGUAACAUAAUAAAGUCCAAGUGUGUGUUAAUUAGAUACACAAAUAAGUCAACUCUAUGACUGGUCUCCAAGCUUUUUUAUUAAAUGAACUUUGUUACUUUUUUUUAAAGCCACCAUAUUCCCAUGUGGCAUUAGAGUGGACCAAUGUCAGAGGGUAGGGGAUUCAAAGUGAAGUUGUGUGCAACAUCUCAACUACAUCAGGAGCAACACAACAAAAGUAUAGGGAAUAUAAUUUUUUUUGUGUUGAAGAUACUACAGACCCAAAAAAACCUCCAGUACAAAUGUCAAUUUACCCUUUUACAAAGCAUUACUCUGCCUUAUCUGUCUUGCUUAACCCUGGUUUUUAAAGAUAUGUUGGAAUAAACCAUUCCAGGCACUACAAUGCAUAUUGAAAACCAGUUGCGAUGUUACUCUGCACUUCAGAGUGUCAUUAGUAAUUCAGGAAAUACCAAGGAAGAGGAAAAAUAAUCCUGCAAAUAUUUCUUAGGCAGCUACACAAAACAUCUAUUCCCAGGCAGAAGAUAAAGUUUGUACUGCAACCCCUGGUUUACCGUCUUUCUCUUGAUCUCUCAGCUGUAUUUCUCUUAAAAUCAUUCAGAUUCCAGUC